ACAUGUGGGCUAAUCGGAGAGUCUCAGUUGGCUCUAAGUUUGAAUAUGAGUGUAAAUGGUUGCCUGUUUCUUUGUGUUAGCCUUGUGACAGACUGGUGAGGGUGUACGCUGCCUCUCGUGCUAAGACAGGCUCCAGCCUCCCUGUGACCCUUAAUUGGAUAAGCAGAAGAAAAUGAAUGCACAUAUACAUAAAAGUAUAAGAAUAACAUAGCAAAAAUAAAUAUCACUAAGAUUUGUUCAUAAAUAUUGCACAUUAGAUUUCUCUGUUGGAAAGCUUUGUUUUGACUACAUGGAGCAGUCCAGUCAUUUGUAGCGCUGGUGGUUUGGGGGCAUGUUUAGUGAUCUGCUACAGAUCCUGUGGAAAGAGAAGACCCAGUGAUCAUCACUGUCGUCACCACGCGCUGCAGGGACUUCCAGUUAACCGUCCAGACAUCACAGAUAUGCACAGGGUAGGUCAUUUCUUCUCUAUCAGCGCGAAAAGAGCAGAUGCUGCUGUGACAAGGACAGGAUGUGUGUUAUCUGUACGACAACCUCCACUGUGGUGUUGUUGAUAACAUGUAGUGUGUAGCUGUGCCGGCUUCUGAUUUCAACGAUGAUCUCUUUGGUUUAGUUGACAUUCUGUUCCAAGUUGUUAUCAAUGCACCACUCAACCAGUGCAAGGACUUGCUCAGUUUUUUCAAACCCUUUUUUCUUUAUGUUCAAGAAAAAUAUAAAGUAAGUAACAGGAUUAUCCAUCCAUUAAGUGGAGAGAACGCACGCAGACAUGAGAAGAACAUGCAAACAGAAAAAGGGCCAAAGCCAGGACUCAAAACAGGAACUUUCUUAGGCAGCAGUGCUAACCACCUCCCACUCUAACUGGAAAUUGUAGCAGUUAAAGAUGCAAAAUGUAAGACUGAUAAUUUAAAAAAAACUGUUAAUGACAUUCAAAAAUUUUCAGCACAAUGUGAAGUAAAAUGGUGUGAUGUUACAUCAAAGAGGUCUGUGUUAGGAAAGCUGUUCAAGGAGAGAAGACACACAGGGAUAUACUACAAAGUGAGCAUAAUGGGUAUCCAUGUAUGUGAAACACGCUGUCUAACCUUGUUAGAUCUCCAUGGUAACCGUUGCUGAACCCAUAACCUGACCUUGUUUGACUUCAUUUUGUUUCAGUCCAUCCCAUACACAACCAUGUAAAACACCUUUUUGGUGUAACUUGUACACCAUUGUCACCACCUUAGUUAUAAGCCUUUCUGGUAAUGCCCCAAAAACCUUUAAAAAAGGUUAAUUUAUUGUAAUUUCAUGCCUAAUAAGGUGCUACACGUGCAAAAUAUUUGCGGCACGGGAACCUAAAAGUGAAAAGGUUUUUACAGGAGAGGUAGAGAAAAUGUACUUUCCUCUGCCGCCACAUCACAGCAGCGAGAUGAAGCAUCAGCUACGUCUUCAUCUGCAUGAAGGCAACACUUGAAAAGAGCGACUUCUUUCAUUUUUAAAUAUGAGGCCCCACCUAGUGGGAUGUCACGUUUCUAAACACCAGAGAUUGUUGCUAUGUUUCACUGUGUCAGUACUUUUGGACUCCUUUAGCCUCGACAGCAACAAGUUUUCUAUUUUUAAAGAAAGACUGACAUAAGUCCUAAAAAGUUUAUAAAUGUUCAGUUCUUCAAAAAAGAAAUUCUGAUUCAGCAGAAAAAGGAGGAAGCAGAAAGAGACAGGGACUUUAAGCAGCUGAUAUGUUGCUUUUAUUUCCUUCAACCAUAUGGUGUAUGGAGUGUAUGGCUGUGGUAAUAAAGGACAAUUUCACACAGUUUUUAAGCUGUUGGACAACAGUGGAGCUCUGUGGACACUUCGGAUAUAUAAAAAUCAGUGAUAAAGAUAUUACGAGGCAGAAGAUAUGCUACACAGUAAAUUUAAUUUCUCCAUUUUGUAAUGAAAAGUAAAACUUUUGGAGGAUAUACAGUAAAUAAGUUGAAUUUUUCAUUCAACCGCUGAUUGGAAAGUCUGAAAAGUUAAUGUUUCAGUAAUUUUGUUUCAGGACGUCAACUGUAUCUCUGAGGAUUUUUUUUAUUAAAGGAGUGAGAUUAAGACAUGAGAAGAGGAAGGAUAGAUCUACAAGAAUCUGCAAACUGAGUAAACUAAGAAAGGGGGAAGUUACCAAAAUAAAUCACUGAGUGGAAACAAGGGAACUAAAGCAAAGAAAAACAGGAAACAAAGACAGACAAGGAGAAACUUGGUGAGCCUGGGAAAUAAUUAUAAAAAGAUGUUAUCAAUAAAACUCCACACUAACACUAAUAAAGAAACUGCCCAUGACCUUCAUGCUUUAGACUGCUUUAAACACUCCGCUUCUCCUCCUGGAUCGGACAUACUGUUGUGGGGUGUCAAACUUAUUAUAGUUCCUGGGCCACCUGCAGUCUGAUUUAACCAAGAGGAUCUAGGCUGUAAAACUGCUGAAUAAUAAAUGAUAACAUUUUCCCCUUUUUAAGUGUAAAUAAGUACUUUCUGAGAACUUUUGCAUGCAAUGAUUCAUCAGCAGAAGAUAGCUGAGGUCAAAUAAAUGUAAUUUUAACAAUAUGUGUCACUUUUUCCACUUUUUCCACUCUACUGUCAUUACGAAAGAGAUGCUUCUGUCAUAACCAGAAACCAAGCACCUCAGUGCAGCUCUUUGACUUGUAGGAAAAAUACAGUGAAAAGGCUUAAAAACGAUGUCGAUAUAGUCAUACACUACAGUAGUAUACAGUAUGUCAUCACACCUCCAGCUCCUUCGCUCCAUGACCUCAAUAAACACGUUCUUGCCAGUUUAUGUCUUAUUUAACACAUUUCCUAAAUUAAGGUCCUCAUUAGAGUCAAUAAAUAUAAGUAUGAUUUAGGGCGGCUGCCGUAUGUGCACACAGUGCCAAAAGAUUCUUAGUCACCAAACACCAAGAUGAUGAUGGUAAAAACAGUCCAUGUCUAAAAGAUCUUAUUGCAGGGAGAAGAUGAACUGUGGGGCAGCACUAAGGUCCAGCAUAAGAUUCAUGUGAAUUAAUUUAAGCUGUGACUCAUGAGAAGCAACUGUAUUCCAGGAGUCCAGAUGGAAUUGAGGCCCAUAGGUCAACUUUAAUGUGGAACAAAUGGCAAAAUCUGUAAAUAGACAAAAACAAGUCAUCGAGUGUGCGUAGGUGGAUUUUUCUGUGCAAUAAAUCAGAUAUAUUUUAGACCUCGUGAGUCAGGAUCAUUGUCUUUUUAUAACUUUUUGCUCUGUGAUUCACUUACUGGGACUCUUCACAGUUCCUCUUUGUUUUCCUCCACAAUAAACUCUUGAUUGAAAAGACAAACUAUCCUGUUUUUAGAGUCACAUUUGCUGUCAACAGAAUAUUCCCUCACAAAGCACUUUAUCAGGACCAGCAGUCAGCCAGUCAUUUGGCAGGGCUUCACAGCAUAAAACCCUCCUUCAGUUAACAUGAGUCUGGCAUGACUGCUGGCAGCAGAUAGGCUGGUUUGCGAGAGUUCGGUCAGAAAGAUGGAUGAGCAGCAGUUGUUUGGAUGGACACUCUUUGCUGAUGCCAGAGUUCAGAGUCCUCCAUCCGAUCUCCACGCUCUGACUCUGACAGUACUCAUCUUCAUUUGGUUUAACGGAAGAGCUCAUGCUCACUUCUCCUACCUGCCUGCCUCCCUGCCACAGUUACUGAAUACCACGGAUCAUCACUGGCUGGAACCAUCACCGCCGCACUCGCUCCACUUACCCCUCUCAUGCCAGUCCUUCACCUGCAAUAAUGACCCGAAGGCUCCUGGUUUCGUUCCCCGGCCUGACUCCCCUUUUCCCCACGCCACAGACUUUCAUGUGUAUAUAGUUUCCUAGUACUCCACGUUUAUUGUACACUUCAUGUUUGCUACUCCUUAGAAUCUCACAUAUGUUUCAUAGCUCACGUAGCAUCAUAGUUGUAAUUCUCUGUUUGUAAAUAAAGUCUUGUAAUCACGUUUA